AACGAACGCUGGCGGCAUGCCUAACACAUGCAAGUCGAACGACACCUUCGGGUCUGGUGGCGCACGGGUGCGUAACGCGGGGGAACCUGCCCGUAUGUUCGGAAUAACUCCCUGAAAGGGGUGCUAAUACCGGAUAAUUUCCUCGGAUCAAAGAUUUGUCGUGCUGGGAUGGGCCGGCGUUGGAUUAGCUUGUUGGUAUGGUAAAAGCCUACCAAGGCUACGAUCGAUAGCUGGUCUGAGAGGAAGAUCAGCCACACUGGGACUGAGACACGGCGGAGAAUACUACGGGAGGCAGGAGUGGGGAAUAUAGCAAAAUGGGGGGAAGGAUGAUGCAGCUAGGCCGGGAGAGUGAUGAAGGUCUUAGGGUAGUAAAGCUCGUUUACCCGGGACGAUAAUGACGGUACCGGGAGAAUAAGCACCGGCUAACUCCGUG
rnacentral:rRNA from 1 species